rnacentral:rRNA from 1 species
GAUGAACGCUGGCGGCGUGCCUAAUACAUGCAAGUCGAGCGAACAGAUAAGGAGCUUGCUCCUUUGACGUUAGCGGCGGACGGGUGAGUAACACGUGGGUAACCUACCUAUAAGACUGGAAUAACUCCGGGAAACCGGGGCUAAUGCCGGAUAACCUUUAGAACCGCAUGGUUCUAAAGUGAAAGAUGGUUUUGCUAUCACUUAUAGAUGGACCCGCGCCGUAUUAGCUAGUUGGUAAGGUAACGGCUUACCAAGGCAACGAUACGUAGCAGACCUGAGAGGGUGAUCGGCCACACUGGAACCGAGAGACACCCCAGACUCCUACGGGAGGCAGCAGUAGGGAAUCUUCCGCAAUGGGCGAAAGCCUGACGGAGCAACGCCGCGUGAGUGAUGAAGGUCUUCGGAUCGUAAAACGCUGUUAUUAGGGAAGAACAAAUGUGUAAGUAACUGUGCACGUCUUGACGGUACCUAAUCAGAAAGCCACGGCUAACUACGUG